rnacentral:rRNA from 1 species
GUGAGGAAUAUUGCGCAAUGGAGGCAACUCUGACGCAGCCAUGCCGCGUGCAGGAAGAAGGCGCUACGCGUUGUAAACUGCUUUUAACCGGGAAGAAACCCCAGGACGUGUCCUGGGUUGACGGUACCGGAGGAAUAAGCACCGGCUAACUUCGUGCCAGCAGCCGCGGUAAUACGAAGGGUGCAAGCGUUAUCCGGAUUCAUUGGGAUUAAAGGGUGCGUAGGCGGAGCGUUAAGUCAGUGGUGAAAUCCGGCAGCUUAACUGUAGACUUGCCAUUGAUACUGGCGCGCUUGAGUGCGCUUGAAGUGGGCGGAAUGUGCCGUGUAGCGGUGAAAUGCUUAGAUAUGGCACAGAACACCAAUUGCGAAGGCAGCUCACUAAGGCGAUACUGACGCUGAGGCACGAAAGCGUGGGGAUCGAACAGGAUUAGAUACCCGAGUAGUCC